rnacentral:RNase_P_RNA from 1 species
GCGGAUGGCCGGAUGGCCGCGGGGCCCCUCGGGGCCUCGAGGAAAGUCCGGACUCCACAAGGCACGGUGCCGGGUAACGCCCGGCCGGGGCAACCCGAGGGAAAGCGCCACAGAGAUGAGACCGCCCCGCAUGCGGGGUAAGGCUGAAACGGUGGGGUAAGAGCCCACCGCGGGACGGGCAACCGGACCGGCACGGCAAGCCCCACCGGGAGCAAUGCCGAAUAGGGACUUCGCGCCGGGCCUUCGGGUCGCGGCAGGGAUGCCUGAUCCCGAGAAGUCCGGGUUGGCAGCUAGAGGCGCGCCGGUAACGGCGGGCCAAGAGGAAUGGCCAUCGAAGGGGGCGACCCCUGAACAAAAUCCGGCUUACAGGCUGUCCGCGCAU